rnacentral:rRNA from 1 species
AGUGAACGCUGGCGAUGGGCCUAACACAUGCAAGUCGAACGGCAGCACAGUAAGAGCUUGCUCUUACGGGUGGCGAGUGGCGGACGGGUGAGGAAUACAUCGGAAUCUACUUUUUCGUGGGGGAUAACGUAGGGAAACUUACGCUAAUACCGCAUACGACCUACGGGUGAAAGCAGGGGAUCUUCGGACCUUGCGCGAUUGAAUGAGCCGAUGUCGGAUUAGCUAGUUGGCGGGGUAAAGGCCCACCAAGGCGACGAUCCGUAGCUGGUCUGAGAGGAUGAUCAGCCACACUGGAACUGAGACACGGUCCAGACUCCUACGGGAGGCAGCAGUGGGGAAUAUUGGACAAUGGGCGCAAGCCUGAUCCAGCCAUACCGCGUGGGUGAAGAAGGCCUUCGGGUUGUAAAGCCCUUUUGUUGGGAAAGAAAAGCAGCAGGUUAAUACCCCGCUGUUCUGACGGUACCCAAAGAAUAAGCACCGGCUAACUUCGUG